UGAGGAAUAUUGGUCAAUGGACGCAAGUCUGAACCAGCCAAGUAGCGUGCAGGAUGACGGCCCUAUGGGUUGUAAACUGCUUUUAUAUGGGGAUAAAGUGGGGAACGUGUUCCCUUUUUCAGGUACCAUAUGAAUAAGGACCGGCUAAUUCCGUGCCAGCAGCCGCGGUAAUACGGAAGGUUCGGGCGUUAUCCGGAUUUAUUGGGUUUAAAGGGAGCGUAGGCCGUUUGGUAAGCGUGUUGUGAAAUGUAGGAGCUCAACUUCUAGAUUGCAGCGCGAACUGUCAGACUUGAGUGCGCACAACGUAGGCGGAAUUCAUGGUGUAGCGGUGAAAUGCUUAGAUAUCAUGACGAACUCCGAUUGCGAAGGCAGCUUACGGGAGCGCAACUGACGCUAAAGCUCGAAGGUGCGGGUAUCGAACAGG
rnacentral:rRNA from 1 species